UAAAUAGGAGCUUGUUGUUAAGUGCCUGGCUGUUAACCAGGCGGAAGCGGGUUCGAAUCCGCCUAUUUAG
rnacentral:tRNA from 1 species